CAUGGAUCAGAUGAUCACUUGCUGGCUGUUGUAUCUGAAAAGGUGUUAUCCAAAUGGUUAAAAAUGAUGAAGAUCCUAAAGGUCACCAGGUAAUGACCUCUAUACAGUAGAAGAUGAGGAGCUGACAGAUGGCCUCUAAAACUACCUGAUGAAGUGCUGUCAAGAGCUGUAGGCACUUUUGAAAAGAUCAACAGAGUUUUCAUCAUUCUGGAUGUGCUGAUGCCAGAGGCUCAUUUGGCUUCAGUGAAUCUCUGACGAGUACAGAAAGUAUCUCCAUGAGUAAGAAGCAGAAGGUCUGUUCAUUGAUGGACCAGCAGAUGUGAGUAAAGAGUUUGACACACUUGUGGUUCAACUGUUAACAGUAUGAGGACAGACCACGUCACUGAGGCUUUUCAACUUGGGAUUCCAUCUCAGCGCCUUCUCUAAUAAACAUGUCACUUGCUUUAUUGGUCUUUUAACUUUUUUUUAUUUGAGUGUUUGACUGUGCAUAAUAGAGUUGUGUAUAUUUAACGAUUGAUGUAAAUAAUAAAGGACACUGUUGAUUAA